UGUAAGAGCGACAUAUUCGAGGUGCGUGCGAACAAUGGUGAGGUGUUGGAGCGAGUCAACAACAGUGAGGGCGUGUUCUCUUUAUGUCAGAGGGAGCCCCCGCAGCCUCCUCCCCUCGCCCGGGACAUUAUCUUCGCCAUCAGAGGCGCUGCUGUACUCCUCAAGUGUCCAGGCACUACAUUACAAGACAAGCCGGUGAGAUGGCGGAUAGGCAAUAAGGAGGUGGAUCCACGGAAGCUGGACAUCACCACUGGGGGCAGAAUUCAUCUCAACGCCAGAGAUCAUAUCAUCAUUGUCACCGCAGAGUAUACCGACUCUAAUGUCUAUAGUUGUUGGCAAGAUGAGAAGCUAUCAGGUGUUAUAAAGUUGAAAUUAUUCUCCGAGUUCCGCAACAAGUGCGGUCAUCGUCUGACACUGCUGGGUCUACUGUGCGGGAUGACGCUCGUACAUCGCGCUCUCAACAAUCUCUACC